rnacentral:rRNA from 1 species
GUCCUUUUGUAUUUUAUAUAAGGUCUAGCCUGCCCACUGAAUUUAUAUUUUAAAUGGCCGCAGUAUUUUGACUGUGCAAAGGUAGCAUAAUCAUUAGUUUUUUAAUUAAAAGCUUGUAUGAAAGGCUGGACGAGGUAAAAUCUGUCUCUAUUUAAAUUAAAAUAGAAUUUAACUUUUAAGUUAAAAGGCUUAAAUAUUAUUAAAAGACGAGAAGACCCUAUAGAUCUUUAUAUUUUAUUAAGUAAAAUUAAUUUAGAAAUAUUUAUAUUUUAUUUAAUUAAAUUAUUUUAUUGGGGUAAUAGAAAGAUUGAAUUAAUUCUUUUUUAUAAUAAACAUUAAUUUAUGAAUAUUAAUGAUCCAGUUUUACUGAUUAUAAGAUUAAGUUACCUUAGGGAUAACAGCGUAAUUUUUUUAGAGAGUUCAUAUCGAUAAAAAAGUUUGCGACCUCGAUGUUGGAUUAAAGAUUAUUUUAGGUGUAGAAGCUUAAUAAUUUUGGUCUGUUCGACCAUUAAAUCUUUAC